rnacentral:rRNA from 1 species
GACGAACGCUGGCGGCGUGCUUAACACAUGCAAGUCGAACGAUGAAGCUGGAGCUUGCUCCAGUGGAUUAGUGGCGAACGGGUGAGUAACACGUGAGCAAUCUGCCCUUGACUCUGGGAUAACUGCGGGAAACUGUAGCUAAUACCGGAUAUGACACGUUGGGGCAUCCCGAGGCGUGGAAAGAAUUUCGGGCAAGGAUGAGCUCGCGGCCUAUCAGCUUGUUGGGGAGGUAACGGCUCACCAAGGCGACGACGGGUAGCCGGCCUGAGAGGGUGACCGGCCACACUGGAACUGGGACACGGGCCAGACUCCGACCGGAGGCAGCAGUGGGGAAUAUUGCACAAUGGGCGAAAGCCUGAUGCAGCAACGCCGCGUGAGGGAUGACGGCCUUCGGGUUGUAAACCUCUUUUAGCAGGGAAGAAGCGAAAGUGACGGUACCUGCAGAAAAAGCACCGGCUAACUACGUGCCAGCCGCCGCAGUAA